CUUCGCUUCGGCGGCGGCUGCUGCGGGAGGUGGCGGCGCCGCGGCGGCGAGCGGAGCCCGGCAGUAGCCGCCAGCCCCGGGGUAUGCGGGUGAGCGGGAGAGGAACGCGGAGGAAGGCGGAGAGCGGCGGGGAGCGGGGCGAGGGAGCCCGGCCGAGCCCUCCCGAGCGGCGGAGGAUGCGCCGAGCCCCGGGGAGUCGAGCCCAGCUGCAGCGCGGCGCGUCCCGCCCGGCCGCCGCCCCAGCCCGCGCAGCUCCCUGUGCCCUGGAGCCAUGAGCUGCCCUCAGUGCCCGCAGAGCCGCCGGAGCAGCCUCCCAGCCACAGCCCCCCGGCACUCUUAGGCUUCCCUGCCCCCCUGGAAGGUGCUCAUCUCUGGCCAGGAGAACCAGCUGCACCUGCACCCUGCCUCUGCAUCCCUCCCAGGUUCCUUGCCUCACCAGCAGGUCCUUGUAGCGCUUCAGCUCUGUGCAUGAGUGGAAAGCAGAGGAGAGGCCAAAGCCCAGUGCACACCUGGCAUCUGAUCCCCCAGCAUCCUGCCUUCAUCUGACCCAGGUAGGCACAUGUGAUGCUGACGUGCAAUUGUGGUGCUGAGUCCAGGGCUGGACUGGUUUCCAUUGCCAAAAUUGUGGUAAAAAUGCUUUUUCCUUCCCCUUUAGUCUGGGGUGGCUUCCCAUCCC
rnacentral:lncRNA from 1 species